rnacentral:misc_RNA from 1 species
AGUGCGACACCUGAUUCC